GCUACACAUGCAGUCGACGAUGAAGCCCAGCUUGCUGGGUGGAUUAGUGGCGAACGGGUGAGUAACACGUGAGUAACCUGCCCUUAACUCUGGGAUAAGCCUGGGAAACUGGGUCUAAUACCGGAUAGGAGCGUCCACCGCAUGGUGGGUGUUGGAAAGAUUUAUCGGUUUUGGAUGGACUCGCGGCCUAUCAGCUUGUUGGUGAGGUAAUGGCUCACCAAGGCGACGACGGGUAGCCGGCCUGAGAGGGUGACCGGCCACACUGGGACUGAGACACGGCCCAGACUCCUACGGGAGGCAGCAGUGGGGAAUAUUGCACAAUGGGCGAAAGCCUGAUGCAGCGACGCCGCGUGAGGGAUGACGGCCUUCGGGUUGUAAACCUCUUUCAGUAGGGAAGAAGCGAAAGUGACGGUACCUGCAGAAGAAGCACCGGCUAACUACGUGCCAGCAGCCGCGGUAAUACGUAGGGUGCGAGCGUUAUCCGGAAUUAUUGGGCGUAAAGAGCUCGUAGGCGGUUUGUCGCGUCUGUCGUGAAAGUCCGGGGCUUAACCCCGGAUCUGCGGUGGGUACGGGCAGACUAGAGUGCAGUAGGGGAGACUGGAAUUCCUGGUGUAGCGGUGGAAUGCGCAGAUAUCAGGAGGAACACCGAUGGCGAAGGCAGGUCUCUGGGCUGUAACUGACGCUGAGGAGCGAAAGCAUGGGGAGCGAACAGGAUUAGAUACCCUGGUAGUCCAUGCCGUAAACGUUGGGCACUAGGUGUGGGGACCAUUCCACGGUUUCCGCGCCGCAGCUAACGCAUUAAGUGCCCCGCCUGGGGAGUACGGCCGCAAGGUAAAUAG
rnacentral:rRNA from 1 species